UCCAAAGUGGCUUUGUCAGCUGUGUCCAUCAUUUGCUGUAGGUAGUGAGUGAGCUAUCAGGUGGAUAUGGAUUAACACCAAGGGCAAGCAACCCUCGAAAUGUCACAUGUCAACACACCCUAUUUCAUGGCCAUGGCUCAGAAAGGCAGUUCUGCAGUCAUUCUUCAAUAACCCAGAGAACAUGAAUAUACAUAUGGUGUUUGGCAAAUCCAGGAGCCAGACAUCUUAACCAGGACAACACAGUGCAGAACUUUCAGCACAGAUCAUAAGGACAACUAGAUAGGUCUACGGAGUAUAUUAUUUUUUUUAAAAACCAAUU